rnacentral:rRNA from 1 species
UACUGAGGGGGCAAGCGUUGUUCGGAAUUAUUGGGCGUAAAGCGCGUGUAGGCGGCUUUGCAAGUUGGGUGUGAAAGCCCUCGGCUCAACCGAGGAAGUGCGCUCGAAACUGCAGAGCUUGAGUGCCGGAGAGGAUGGCGGAAUUCCCCAAGUAGAGGUGAAAUUCGUAGAUAUUCGGAAGAACACCCGUGGCGAAGGCGGCUCUCUGGAACGCAACUGACGCUGAGACGCGAAAGCGUGGGGAGCAAACAGG